GGAACGUGACCUGUGAGUGUUCGGCAAAGGGAUACGAAUGGGAUUCAAGAUUUCGUACCUGCAUCGAUGUAGAUGAAUGUGUUCGAGGCAGUCACUCCUGCACAGAUGAGUCUGAGGCGUGCUUCAACGUAGCAGGCUCCUACAACUGUGGCUGUCAGUGGGGUUACGUGUUUGACGCUGACAAACAGAAAUGUGUGCAAAAUGAAGCUAUCGCAAUUGCCAAAGCAGUCGUCGACAGAAAUAUCGCAGCAAGAGAACAGGAGGAGCCCGGGUCCAUUGUGAAGAAAAUUAUCACAUACCUGUCUGGGGGGAAUGCUGCCGCGUCAGAGUGACACAUGACUAUGAUAGCCACCAUCAGUUACAGAAUUGGCAGCUCUGUUCAUUUAAAAAAUACGCAUUUCAUAAAUUUGUAAUGUGAAAGUACAGCAUUUACAAUACGUGUCACACAAUUUUAUUUAUUUCUAAAUCCAGUUUAAACCAUUUGAUUUAUAGUGUUAAUAUUUGUUUACUUAUUAUAUAUUCUAAUGCACUACACGGCAUGCAAAGUUUUAAGAUUAAAUUAAACUGGAAGAUUCUAGAAGAUAAUGCAAGUAUCACAGUCAUUAAAACAAAGUUUAAUGUAA